rnacentral:tRNA from 1 species
GAUUAAAGAGCUUGGUUAAAGCAUAUAAUUUUUAAUUAUAGGAGAUCUUAUAGAUUUUAAUCG